CAUGAUCGUUAUUCUGAGAUUCGAAUGACUUGUAGUUCGAAUCUGAUGAUACAAGACUGUACAUCUGUCAUUCCUAUCAACAUGAAUUAAAGUUUCGUUUGCUUUAUACCGGAUCCAUGGAAGACUCUUACAAAAGUGGAACCAAAAUUCUUUGUCAAGGACCAAGUCAAUCCCUCGUAUCGUUGAUUAGGUUGAGGAAUUCGUCGAUUUUGAUUUUUGAGAGAGAAUCACCUAGUUUAGGCAACUAGGUGAUUUCCCCUAGCAAUUAUCGAUUCUAAAAGUGUUACUUGCGUCUAACCUGGUCGUCUUAAUGGCUCAGGCACGAUCUCCAUCGCAAAUGUCGUCCUUAGAUGCCCUAUAAAAGAGGACUUUCGGAGGACAUCUAAAGCAUCUGUUCCACACCUUCCAGAGCGACAUGGAGCAAUCACCGAUUUGCUAGCCUAAAUCGUCGAUUCUCUCCAGAAGACAUUGACGUAGAAUGGCUUUUGUGAAUUUCAGAGUCUCCAACAUGAGAAGACAAUCGCUCGCACCACCGCGAGUGUUGGUAGGAUUUUUCGGUUAUGAGAAGUCAUUGACGUCGAUUCUCUUAUCAGAAUCGUAGUGGGAAAAUGAGUUCAUCCUCUUCGACCAAGCCAUAAAAUGCCAAUGACCUUUCGUACGCAACGGAAUUAUAUAAUGUGAGAGUUAUUUUACUUAAUUAUAUUGAAAAAAACCAUGUAUACCAGAAAUGACCGCAUUGUCAAACCGCCCGGACCUAGUCUUAUCAACCUCAUAAAGGUUUCCAUUUACCAUCCUGCAAUCCAUAUCAUUGAAAAUACUAACCUUAAUAAACUGAAUUUUUCCAUCAGGAUAAUUAUUUUGCAUAAGUUUAGCAUGAAUGAUUAUUGUGUAUAAAUUGCAACAUAUGAAAUUGAAAUUAGACCGCAAUAGAUAGGAAGAAGGAUAGUACGUAGAGCACACCACAAAAACAUUCACGCCGACCAAGUAGGUAUAAGGCGAGAGGAACACAACAAGAACAAAAACUAAUUGAAGCAUGGGCUAGAAGGGCACAAGUGCACAACCAACAUUGACUUAGAAAUUUUCAUUAUCUUGUAUUGCACUUUAAAUUAGUAGAAACUUGUACCAAAGAAAAAUGUAAUACUUAUGCUAAUGGUGGAUCGGAAUUCAAUUAAAAAUAGAAUUCUGAUCCAUUAAAAGCAUAGUAAGAUGGACUUGAGACAAUGGAAUGACUUUAACAAGUCAUAUUCAUAGGAACCUCGACCUCAAUAGAGUUCCUUAUAGAGUUCCUUAUAAAAAUAGAAAACGAUAUGACAAAUCAAUUACAAAGUAGUAGACCGAAAGAUGAUGGCAGGGUUUUUCUUAAGAAAAAAAAGAUGUUAGAAGCACAUCAGGGUUUUUCACCUAACCAUUGUCCAAGGCCUACUACGUAGGAAUAAUGUAGGCAUAUUCGUUCUAAAAAUCAAGUGUCAAUCCCUAAUGUUUUUGUUAAAGAUCUAAACGAUCGUAAGAUCACUUGAUCAGAUCAAUACAGAAGGUGUGAAGUAGAUCGCAUGUGAUCAUACCUCUUUUUUUGACUUAAAAUUAAUGAAAUUACCAGAUAGUUUUAUUUAUAAAAAAAAAAGAAUUGAAAUUAGGCUUAGUUAUUGCAAUAUAAUAUGUCCAUAGAUUAUACUUGAAUUGCUCUUUGAUCAUCGGUGGUAUUUGGGGUGACUAAUGAGGAGUUGUAAAAUCAAUACGACGCGCAACAUGGUCCAGGUCUUCUGGGUUGAAUUUCUUCCUUUCACUAUAAGAAAACAGGGAAACAUCCAUGGCCAAGAUCACUGGCUAAAUGGCAAAAUCCGUGAUUUAGCCACGGAGGGGCCGUGGCCGUAGGUCUGGUGGCUACUGAUUUAUCAUUUCCGAGGCUAAUUUUGGUAAUCGGUAAUCGGGUAAAUUUUUUUAAAAAAUUAGCCACGGCAUAAUCCUAGUGGACAGCAGAGGAUAACGGAAUGUUGUUAUCUUCAAGCUGUAUAUACACUCCUACGAAUGCAUCUAAGAGGGAAUCUUAUUUUGAGUGAAGUCCACCUUCAUACAUGUGCUUUGUUCUUAUAUGAUAUCAGUUGCCUAGGAGGGAUUUAUAUCCUAAGGUGGUAUUUUCUGAUCUGACUGCAUUCAUCACUCAAAUUGGGUUCUUCCACUGCACACCAUAUCUGAAAUGAAGGUGACAAGUGCUUUGAUUGGUGGUGUAGAGUCUGUUAUGCUCCUUGAAUCAACGACUGGAGCAAAGAAUCUUAUUGUCAUGAACAUGUUAAGACUGACUCUAAACAGGAGCAAUUACUUUGCCUGACAUAGUUUGCAGCCAUCCUCUCGGGGAACAAAUUCAUGAAAUUUGUUGAAGGAACAGUGGUGUCAAAGAAUGAAACAGCGAUUGAGAAGGAUCAAUUAUCCUAGGCUGGCUCUUGUUGGCAAUUUCGGCCACUAGUAGAUUAAGAAAUUGAAGUGGUUGUCAAAGAAAUUUAAUCCAAUAUUUAAAUACUUGAAAUUCCUAGUUUCCAUUAUCGUUAAAUACAUAUUUACAGAGGACGAGGAACGGGAACAACUUGGCAAAGAGUGGUCAAAAGAUUUGAGGAAAAUGUAUUGGGGAAAAUAAACAGUAUUGGGGAAAUAAACGGAUAGGAACUCUGACCUGGAAGUUGCCGGAAUGGACAGAAACGCUCUUGCCGGUCGCCGUUCGCCGAUUGUCAGAAGUUGAAAUCGCCACUGGUCAGAAAUGAGAAACGAGAAACGAGAGUGGGAGAAAAACUUAGGUAAAUUUUAGGGGUUUU
rnacentral:lncRNA from 1 species